AGUGGUGGUGACUAGCAUAGAAGGCGGAGGAGGUCAUUGGAGCCGGCUUCCCUUCCGCUUUGGCUGCCAAGCUCCGCGCGUUGGUGAGUCCCUCUCUCUAUCCCUCUACAUCUCUCCCUCUCUCUGUCAGAGGGCAGCUACCAACCCCGAGGUGCAGGCGGCCAUGGAAAAGCAGAAGAUGCCACACCUAGCUUUCCCCCUUGCCUCCUGCCCUUUCUCUUCAGCUCAUUUAUUUACAUGUGCAAAUUCUCUUUUAUCUAUGCCUGCAAGGUGUUUGAUGAAAGUUCAGUAAGGCUUUGAGGGAAUACCAAACAAGAGAGGAUCCAGUAUCUGUAACAUGCAUCAGGUUGACACCAACUUCAUGCAUUUUGCUUCAAGAUCAUUGUUAAUUUAAUUCAAAAUGUUUUCUCAUUCUAUUGGAAGAUAGAAAGGAUGGUUGUAGAAAGAUAACUGUUCUACUUGGAUACCUUUCUUUGUUCUCGUUUGCAUUUAAGUAAAAAUGUUCAACUGCAGAUAUAGAUUGCCGGCGGGUGGAUAUAUUGCUCAAAAGAUGUCACUAGUGCUGUACUGCUGUAGAUGCCAUUGAUUUCAUAUAUCAAAGCAUUACAGCUCUUUCAGAUCCUUUGUAUUUCCACUUAGUUAGCUUGAAAAUCUUGUCUACUACGGACACCUCUUGAAAAUUGCAAAGGAGUUCUAACUCCCAACAAGCUUAUUUCCUUAAAAAAUGUAACUGGUACAAUGUUCUACGUACCUUAUGAGAGGUCAGCCCCGGCAUCACAGUCCAUUCCUGAAGAAGUUCACAUGCAUGGUGUUGAUUGUUGAGUUUGCUUGGUUAACGGAAUGACAUGCCUAUGCAGAUCAGCAGGGGGAAGGUCCAGGGUGAAACCUUCAGGAGGGAUUUGAUGUUGCUAUUGUUUCAGUUUGCAGAUAGAGGAUGUGAUUCCAGCAAGACAGAGACGAUGGCGAUGACAAGUGAGAUUUAUGUUAAGGAGUAUUAGCAUAUGCUCACAGGAUCACUGGAAGUUUAUAAAUGUAUCCGCAAUGAUUGUUGCUUUCUUAUUGACACAUAAUUGAAUUAUAAUUAUAGACAGUAAGAGUAGUUGUCUUUUCAUUUGUUAGAAAACAUAGUGUACCUUUAUAAUCGUAGUUAUAUGCAAUGAUCCAUCAUGUAUUUUUGUUUAAAACUGCAACCCGUAAUUGUUUGAUGUCAUUAAAUGUCUCUCUCUCUCUCUCUCU
rnacentral:rRNA from 1 species